ensembl:lncRNA
GGAGCGCGGUUGGCGAGUGGCCCGGACCUUGAGCUGGGCACGAGGAGGUAAAGUCCCAGUACGUAUCUGUAACCCCCAGCUGUUCCCUGUGCUUCUCCCCCACCGACAGGCAUUGGCAACCGUUACUUCAGUUGACCCCGGGGACGUCCAGGGGCGGAACCAUUUGGUACUACGAGACUCGACCCCAGGAGUGGUGGAGGUGGACGUGCGGCCAGUUUGCCAGGGCCCAGCAAGAGAGACACCACUGCAGGGAGAGGAGAGCACUGAACUUCUUCCAGGGCAGUCGGAACAGUUCUCAGCCUUGCUACGAAAGUGGCCAGGGGUGUUUUCUGCCCACGAGGAGGACUUUGGUUUUACCACGGCCGUGCACCAUCGUAUCCCUACCGGCACGGCACCCCCCAUCCGGGAAAUGUAUAGACCUGUUCCACCCACAUUGUACCCUGAACUACGCGGACUGCUGAAGAGUAUGCUGGACAGUGGUGUGAUUCAAGAGAGUUCGAGUCCCUGGGCCGCCGCAGUAGUCCUUCUUAAGAAAAAAUGAUGGCUCAUUGCGCUUCUGUGUAGACUAUCGGAGACUUAACGCAGUGACUCAUAAAGAUCCGUUUCCCCUCCCUAGGAUUGAGGAGUCCCUGACCGGCCUCCACCAGGCGGAAUGGUACUCGACGCUGGACUUAGCCAGUGGGUACUGGCAGGUCGGGGUGGCACCCCCUGACCAGGAGAAAACUGCGUUUGUCACCCCACUGGGCCUGUAUGAGUUCUCCCGGAUGCCUUUUGGUUUGUGCAAUGCCCCCGCCACAUUCCAGCGACUGAUGCAACGUUGCCUAGGGGACAAGGUUUUCGAACGCCUCCAAAGCCAUGGCCUUAAGCUGCAGCCCAAGAAGUGCCAGUUCUUCCAGCGACAGGUCCUCUACCUGGGACAUGUUGUAAGUGGCCGAGGAGUGGCCACCGAUCCAGAGAAGACGAGAGCGGUCCAAGAUUGGCCUGUCCCCACCACUCUCAAACAGGUACGCUCCUUCCUGGGCUUUGUAGGGUAUUAUAG